AAAUUGUGGUAAAAUACACAACAUAAAAUUUAGCAUCAUAACCAAUUUUAAGUUUAUAGUUCAGCAGUUUUAAAUACCCACACAUUCAUGU